GUGGGGAAUAUUGGACAAUGGGCGAAAGCCUGAUCCAGCCAUGCCGCGUGUGUGAAGAAGGUCUUCGGAUUGUAAAGCACUUUAAGUUGGGAGGAAGGGUAGUAACCUAAUACGUUGCUACUUUGACGUUACCGACAGAAUAAGCACCGGCUAACUUCGUGCCAGCAGCCGCGGUAAUACGAAGGGUGCAAGCGUUAAUCGGAAUUACUGGGCGUAAAGCGCGCGUAGGUGGUUCAGUAAGUUGGAAGUGAAAUCCCCGGGCUCAACCUGGGAACUGCUUUCAAAACUGCGGAGCUAGAGUACGGUAGAGGGUGGUGGAAUUUCCUGUGUAGCGGUGAAAUGCGUAGAUAUAGGAAGGAACACCAGUGGCGAAGGCGACCACCUGGACUGAUACUGACACUGAGGUGCGAAAGCGUGGGGAGCAAACAGGAUUAGAUACCCGUUAGUCC
rnacentral:rRNA from 1 species